rnacentral:tRNA from 1 species
CAGCAGGUAGUUUAAUUAAAAUAUUAAUUUUGGGGAUUAAAGUUGGGGCCUACCUCUUGCUGA